rnacentral:rRNA from 1 species
GAUGAACGCUAGCUACAGGCUUAACACAUGCAAGUCGAGGGACCGGCGCACGGGUGAGUAACACUUAUCCAACCUGCCCUUUACUCGGGGAUAGCCUUUCGAACGAAAGAUUAAUACCCGAUGUAAAGGUUGGGGAUGCGUUCCAUUAGGUUGUUUGUGAGGUCACGGCUCACCAAGCCUUCGAUGGAUAGGGGUGCUGAGAGGAAGGGCCCCCACAUUGGAACUGAGACACGGUCCAAACUCCUACGGGAGGCAGCAGUGAGGAAUAUGGGUCAAUGGGCGUUAGCCUGAACCAGCCAAGUAGCGUGAAGGAGGAAGGCUUAUGGGUCGUAAACUGCUUUUAUAUAAGAAUAUGUAUUAUAUGAAUAAGGAUCGGCUAACUCCGUGCCAGCAGCCGCGGUAAUAC